rnacentral:tRNA from 1 species
UCCCUGGUGGUCCAGGGGCUAAGACUGCAUACUCCCAAUGUAGGGACCUGGGUUCAAUCCCUAGCCAGGGAG